rnacentral:ribozyme from 1 species
UUUUUUUUUUUUUUUUUUUUUUUUUCC